GCGCAGCAGGCGCGAAUCCUUCGCAAUGCGGGAAACCGCGACGAGGGGACUCCCAGUGCCUACGCUCAGCGUAGGCUGUUCCCGAGCCUAGAAAGCUCGGGGAGUAAGGGCUGGGUAAGACGGGUGCCAGCCGCCGCGGUAAUACCCGCAGCCCGAGUGGUGGCCACUAUUAUUGGGCCUAAAAGCGUCCGUAGCCGGCCCGGUAAAUGCCUGGGUAAAUCGUGAGGCCUAACCUCACGAAUUCCGGGUAGACUGCCGGGCUAGGGACCGGAGGAGGGAGAGGGGUACUCCAGGGGUAGGGGUGAAAUCCUGUAAUCCCUGGAGGACCACCGGUGGCGAAGGCGCUCUCCUAGGACGGGUCCGACGGUGAGGGACGAAAGCCAGGGGAGCGAACCGGAUUAGAUA
rnacentral:rRNA from 1 species